CUGUAUAUUCUUCAUUCCGCCGGACUUCCCUCAUUUAGGCCAGAUGUCCGUCCUUGUCCUCUGUCUCUGUGUUGGCGUUCUAACCUCUGGUGGAUUUCUGAGGACUACGGUUACCUGGUCCUCAGAUCUC